rnacentral:rRNA from 1 species
GACGAACGCUGGCGGCGUGCUUAACACAUGCAAGUCGAACGGAAAGGCCCUGCUUUUGUGGGGUGCUCGAGUGGCGAACGGGUGAGUAACACGUGAGUAACCUGCCCUUGACUUUGGGAUAACUUCAGGAAACUGGGGCUAAUACCGGAUAGGAGCUCCUGCUGCAUGGUGGGGGUUGGAAAGUUUCGGCGGUUGGGGAUGGACUCGCGGCUUAUCAGCUUGUUGGUGGGGUAGUGGCUUACCAAGGCUUUGACGGGUAGCCGGCCUGAGAGGGUGACCGGCCACAUUGGGACUGAGAUACGGCCCAGACUCCUACGGGAGGCAGCAGUGGGGAAUAUUGCACAAUGGGCGGAAGCCUGAUGCAGCAACGCCGCGUGCGGGAUGACGGCCUUCGGGUUGUAAACCGCUUUCGCCUGUGACGAAGCGUGAGUGAGGGUAAUGGGUAAAGAAGCACCGGCUAACUACGUGCCAGCAGCCGCGGUGAUACGUAGGGUGCGAGCGUUGUCCGGAUUUAUUGGGCGUAAAGGGCUCGUAGGUGGUUGAUCGCGUCGGAAGUGUAAUCUUGGGGCUUAACCCUGAGCGUGCUUUCGAUACGGGUUGACUUGAGGAAGGUAGGGGAGAAUGGAAUUCCUGGUGGAGCGGUGGAAUGCGCAGAUAUCAGGAGGAACACCAGUGGCGAAGGCGGUUCUCUGGGCCUUUCCUGACGCUGAGGAGCGAAAGCGUGGGGAGCGAACAGGCUUAGAUACCCUGGUAGUCCACGCUGUAAACGGUGGGUACUAGGUGUGGGGUCCAUUCCACGGGUUCCGUGCCGUAGCUAACGCUUUAAGUACCCCGCCUGGGGAGUACGGCCGCAAGGCUAAAACUCAAAGGAAUUGACGGGGCCCCGCACAAGCGGCGGAGCAUGCGGAUUAAUUCGAUGCAACGCGUAGAACCUUACCUGGGUUUGACAUGGAUCGGGAGUGCUCAGAGAUGGGUGUGCCUCUUUUGGGGUCGGUUCACAGGUGGUGCAUGGCUGUCGUCAGCUCGUGUCGUGAGAUGUUGGGUUAAGUCCCGCAACGAGCGCAACCCUUGUUCACUGUUGCCAGCACGUUAUGGUGGGGACUCAGUGGAGACCGCCGGGGUCAACUCGGAGGAAGGUGGGGAUGACGUCAAGUCAUCAUGCCCCUUAUGUCCAGGGCUUCACGCAUGCUACAAUGGCUGGUACAGAGAGUGGCGAGCCUGUGAGGGUGAGCGAAUCUCGGAAAGCCGGUCUCAGUUCGGAUUGGGGUCUGCAACUCGACCUCAUGAAGUCGGAGUCGCUAGUAAUCGCAGAUCAGCAACGCUGCGGUGAAUACGUUCCCGGGGCU